rnacentral:rRNA from 1 species
GAUGAACGCUAGCUACAGGCUUAACACAUGCAAGUCGAGGGGAAACGACAUCGAAAGCUUGCUUUUGAUGGGCGUCGACCGGCGCACGGGUGAGUAACGCGUAUCCAACCUGCCCAUCACUUGGGAAUAACCUUGCGAAAGUAAGACUAAUACCCAAUGAUAUCCCACGAAGGCAUCGGAAUGGGAUUAAAGAUUUAUCGGUGAUGGAUGGGGAUGCGUCUGAUUAGCUUGUUGGCGGGGUAACGGCCCACCAAGGCAACGAUCAGUAGGGGUUCUGAGAGGAAGUUCCCCCACAUUGGAACUGAGACACGGUCCAAACUCCUACGGGAGGCAGCAGUGAGGAAUAUUGGUCAAUGGGGGAGAGCCUGAACCAGCAAAGUAGCGUGCAGGAAGACGGCCCUAGGGGUUGUAAACUGCUUUAUAAGGGAAUAAAGUGGGUCACGUGUGACUUUUUGCAUGUACCUUAUGAAUAAGGACCGGCUAAUUCCGUG